GGCAGGGAAAAAAAAUUAUCUGUAGAUUCAUAGUGAUGUCUCAUCUUCCAUUCCUGAUACCGAUCUCUUAGCACAUGGAGAGUCAUGAAUUUAACAGGAA